rnacentral:rRNA from 1 species
UACGUAGGUGGCAAGCGUUGUCCGGAUUUACUGGGCGUAAAGAGCGCGCAGGCGGUCGUUCAAGUCGCGUGUGAAAGCCCCCGGCUCAACUGGGGAGGGUCACGCGAUACUGAUCGACUCGAAGGCAGGAGAGGGUACUGGAAUUCUCGGUGUAGCAGUGAAAUGCGUAGAUAUCGAGAGGAACACCAGUGGCGAAGGCGAGUCUCUGGACAAUUCCUGACGCUGAGGCACGAAAGCUAGGGGAGCAAACAGG